AACUUCACUUCCAUCCAAUCCCCUUCCAACUCUCUCUUUCCACUCGAAAAGAGAAAAAAAACAUCGAUAUCGACCAACUCCAUUUCCAUCGUUCCCGUCCUCAUCCCAAGUCUUCAUUUAAUUUCUCCUGGUAAACACCUCCUUCCCUUUUCGAUCCCGUCAAAAAUAGGCCCUCGAGACGGAGAAAAUGCCAGCGAGCAAUCAAUUCUUGGUGAUUGGGCUGAUACCUCGUCGAAAAUAUCAUACCUUAAAGAGUUCUUUCA
rnacentral:lncRNA from 1 species